CAUCAGGUAACAUCAAAUCGUACCCCAAACCGACACAGGUGGUCAGGUAGAGAAUACCAAGGCGCUUGAGAGAACUCGGGUGAAGGAACUAGGCAAAAUGGUGCCGUAACUUCGGGAGAAGGCACGCUGAUAUGUAGGUGAAGCGACUUGCUCGUGGAGCUGAAAUCAGUCGAAGAUACCAGCUGGCUGCAACUGUUUAUUAAAAACACAGCACUGUGCAAACACGAAAGUGGACGUAUACGGUGUGACGCCUGCCCGGUGCCGGAAGGUUAAUUGAUGGGGUCAGCGCAAGCGAAGCUCUUGAUCGAAGCCCCGGUAAACGGCGGCCGUAACUAUAACGGUCCUAAGGUAGCGAAAUUCCUUGUCGGGUAAGUUCCGACCUGCACGAAUGGCGUAAUGAUGGCCAGGCUGUCUCCACCCGAGACUCAGUGAAAUUGAACUCGCUGUGAAGAUGCAGUGUACCCGCGGCAAGACGGAAAGACCCCGUGAACCUUUACUAUAGCUUGACACUGAACAUUGAGCCUUGAUGUGUAGGAUAGGUGGGAGGCUUAGAAGUGUGGACGCCAGUCUGCAUGGAGCCGACCUUGAAAUACCACCCUUUAAUGUUUGAUGUUCUAACGUUGACCCGUAAUCCGGGUUGCGGACAGUGUCUGGUGGGUAGUUUGACUGGGGCGGUCUCCUCCUAAAGAGUAACGGAGGAGCACGAAGGUUGGCUAAUCCUGGUCGGACAUCAGGAGGUUAGUGCAAUGGCAUAAGCCAGCUUGACUGCGAGCGUGACGGCGCGAGCAGGUGCGAAAGCAGGUCAUAGUGAUCCGGUGGUUCUGAAUGGAAGGGCCAUCGCUCAACGGAUAAAAGGUACUCCGGGGAUAACAGGCUGAUACCGCCCAAGAGUUCAUAUCGACGGCGGUGUUUGGCACCUCGAUGUCGGCUCAUCACAUCCUGGGGCUGAAGUAGGUCCCAAGGGUAUGGCUGUUCGCCAUUUAAAGUGGUACGCGAGCUGGGUUUAGAACGUCGUGAGACAGUUCGGUCCCUAUCUGCCGUGGGCGCUGGAGAACUGAGGGGGGCUGCUCCUAGUACGAGAGGACCGGAGUGGACGCAUCACUGGUGUUCGGGUUGUCAUGCCAAUGGCACUGCCCGGUAGCUAAAUGCGGAAGAGAUAAGUGCUGAAAGCAUCUAAGCACGAAACUUGCC
rnacentral:rRNA from 1 species